rnacentral:rRNA from 1 species
AUGUAAGGAUCGGCUGGCUCAUCCUCAUCAUCCGAAAAGAAAACAAAGAAAAAACAGAUUUGUUUCAAUGACAUAUCUAACUAGACUGAAAUUGAUGUCGAAGACACGAUCAUUCACAUCAAUUGAAGCAGGCAGGAAUUGCGCAUAAGGUAG